AGAAAACACACACAAGAACCAUAAUAAGACUCUACUUUGAAACACAAGACUGACAAUUUGAACUGGAGAAACUCUCAGUUACUGUAAAUCCAGGAUAAACAUCAAGCAGACGCGCCUCGCGCAAACAUUACAUUUGUUUUCAAGUCAACAACUAAAGAAUACCAAAAGAAGCAUUUUGCUUUUUUUUCUUUUUUGUCUUAAUGCUGAAGAAAAUAUAUGGAAACCUUGAAUCUGUUGAAAUAGAGAAGCCAAAAGGCAGAACUUGCACUGUAUUUGAAGCAGAAUAACAGCCACCAUCCGAAUCCCAACCACAAACUAAAAAUUAGUAUCUCAGCCACAUUCUCCUCGAAAGGAAGAACGAAGAACAGAACAUAUCCCAAAACUUAUUAUCCGAUCAACUUUGGUAGGACCAAGUAUAUUAUACGACAGGGAACUAACUUUUCCAUCAGUAUCGAGCUACCGUUCAUGCAUACUCACUUAAGGACCUUUUUUCCAGACCCACUGGCCUCAUCAAGCUGGAAAGCUCUAGGAUCAAGAGGAAUUGUUCCAAUAGUCAGGAAACCAGAAGAUUCAGCAUGUCCAUUAACUUUAACAGGCAUAGAUCCCACUGUGACAACAUCAACUGACUGGGUGCUGGCCACUGUAUUAGUAGUGCUAUGUACAUCCAGCGGCUUAUCUUUCAAUGGUUUCGGGUUGAUAGUUAAGGAACCAAUUUUCAGUGCAGUAUUCACAAGUGGACCUCCUUCAGCCACAAGUUUGUCACCAUUAUCUGCACUCUCUUUGUUAGCUUUAGAAACUAUUGAAUUCAGUUCUGCAGGAACAGCCAUGCAACUUCCAGAUUGUUGUUGUUCACUACACUUUGAGAUCUUCUCACUUUCACCAGAAGGUAAACCUGGAGUAGAAUUUAGCUUGAGUGGAAGAUCCAGUACAGGAACAGCACUAUACUUUGAGAUCUUCUCACUUCCACCAGAAGGUAGACCUGGAGUAGAAUUUAGCUUGCGUGGAGGAUCAAGUGCAGGAACAGCAAAUGGGUUAUCGUAGCUCCUGAUUAGCAGCUUGGCUUUCUCUUCCUGCAAGAGUUUCUGUCUGUUUUCAUAAUACAUGAAGUCAUCUAGCAAUGAUGUCCUUGACGCAUAAUCCUUAAAUACUUUCAGCAUCUCAAUGCCUUUCUUGUAGCGUAUCUCUUGUGUGUCUCUGCUGUUAGUUACUGGCUUGUUCUCAUUGUUCUCUAAUAUAAUAUGCCUAAAGUUAGGGUUAGGGACAUCCUUUAUGAAGUGCCACUUCACAGGGAAGCUACCACUCCACUUAUCUUGCUGCCAGAAAUCCAUGUCCUUGUAGAAGUCUACAGGACCAGUCAUUUCGGCGACCCCACAAAACUGCCCACUUGCAUUAACCGAGAAAAAAAGGAAUAUCGGGCAGCCUCUUGGAUUUCCAGGAGUAAUUCUCUGAGCAUCUUCAUAAGCACUAUUUAGCUUUUUGUUCCCAUUAGGGGUUGAUGACCAAACAUUGUACUUUAUACUCUUGUGCACAUCAUCCUCACUGUAUGAUUUGAUCACAAAAAACUUUGCGUUCACGAAGUCCAUCAGAAAAUCACCCCUAUUGUACUCAUCAGCAUGAAUAACUAUAUUUCCUUGCACAUCAACAUUUCCUGCUCUUGUAGAGUAGGCCUUCACAAGCAAUUGCUUUUUCAUUUUGUCAAUUCGAGGUCCUCUAUUCUGUUCCAUCAACAUAUCAGGACUAACUUUCCCAUCACUUGGGAUUGUUCCAUUUAGAAACUUUGUCCUGAUUUUAUCUGUAUUAGCCUGAUCAUGAGCACCUGAUCUGUGAUUAGACAAGUCAAUUUCAGGUGGAAGAGGAGCUCUCAGUUGACCGUGAUUAGACAAAACCUUCCCAUGAAUAAUGCUUCCUAUAGCUUGAGCAACUGUACCCGGGUGUACCUGAGAGGAUGGACUGGAAAAACCAUGUGACACGUGCUGCUUGCCCGAUGCAGCAUUGAUCUUUGCACUUUCAGAUCCCCUGUUAGAUGCACUUUUAUAACCUGAAGCUGGCCCUAAUGAAGUCGGGGUAAAUAUUGGAGAUGUUGGAGAUAAAUUACGUUUAAGACGAAGAUCAUCAGCUCUGUUAGUAGAAGAUAUAACACUAUCCAUUAUCG
rnacentral:misc_RNA from 1 species